GCAACAAGUGGCAGAGGUGGCAGAAGCAGCAGCUGGGGCCUGGAGACUGUGGGAUGCAGAGGUGGUAAGGUUGAAAUAGGAUGGAGGAUGUACAGAAGUGAGGGAAGGAAGAGAGCCGCGGAGCAGACCAUGGAAGCUCGUAAAGAGCCGAGGAUGAGAGACUAUGGGCCCUGGUCACAGGAACAGUUCCAGGGACCUCAGAAGUCCUAAGGGCUGAGGAUGCUGAUACUAAAGCUAAAGAGAAGUGAGCAGCCACUGAAAGAGCUGAAAUCCCGCUAAUUGAGGUGUAGCACAGCUGAGAUUAAUUGCGCUGUGACACCAGCUGCUGUUACAGGGUCCUGGCAUCCAACACCCAAGAGCUGUGCCGCUAGCUAGUAAGACCUCCGUUACUGCUACCUGCUGUUAACCCGGGAUAAGCUCGCUGCUGAGUGCCGGGCCGCUGGCACCAAAUGCCCACAGCCAUAGGCAGCUAACCUGAGUGCCUACCGCCAUAAGCCUCUGGUAUUCCAGACGUAGGGAUCUACCCCUCUGAGUGUAUCAGCCUAGUUGACAAGCCUUUGGCACUCAAAGUCACAAAACUGCUGGCAUUUGAAAAGCUCCUCCUUGCCUAUCAAGCCCUCUGCUUGAUAACAACAGCAGCAGGAAUAAAAUUCACCACUCAAAUAUUUAAGAAAGUGAAGUUGCUCCAACAGUCUUGGCUUGAAAAGAAAUGAUGGUGCAAUUUUAUCUGAGUGUCCCUUUUGGCAUAUGCGCUGCCAAAUCAUUACACAGAGGAAACAUCUCUCCAGCCAGAGCUCUCCUCCAGCCUCUCAUCAAAUGGAGCCUGCUCCUCUGACCUUUCCUCGCCCCAGCUCAUCUAGGCUCAGAUCAGAACUUCAGAAGCUAAAGUCACCUCUUGGUCUCGGAGUUUCCAAAAUUCACUUUCAAGAACACAAUUUGAUACAGAACUUACUGUUUAAUCAGAAUUAUCUCUUAAAAUCUUUGAAAUUGUUUUUUUUAAAUGAAUUUCUAAUAGAAUUUUAAAGUUGGACAAGCUGGUAGAAUGGUCUUUGGAUUUUUGGGUUAGUUUUUUUCCCUGUAACCUUGACUCUGCCCCCCUAUAGCUACAACACAUGAAUCUUUUUCAAUAAAGAUGAUUCUGUUUUCAGUGA